AUUGAACGCUGGCGGCAGGCUUAACACAUGCAAGUCGAGCGAGCGGCGGACGGGUGAGUAAUGUAUGGGGAUCUGCCUGAUGGCGGGGGAUAACUACUGGAAACGGUAGCUAAUACCGCAUACCAUCAGAUGAACCCAUAUGGGAUUAGCUAGUAGGUGAGGUAACGGCUUACCUGGGCGACGAUCCCUAGCUGGUCUGAGAGGCUGAUAAGCCACACUGGGACUGAGACACGGCCCAGACUCCUACGGGAGGCAGCAGUGGGGAAUAUUGCACAAUGGGCGCAAGCCUGAGGCAGCCAUGCCGGGUGUAUGAAGAAGUCCUGCGGGUUGUAAAGUACUUUCAGUCGGGAGGCGUUACCGACAGAAGAAGCACCGGCUAACUCCGUGCCAGCAGCCGCGGUAAUU
rnacentral:rRNA from 1 species